rnacentral:rRNA from 1 species
ACGUAGUUGGCCGGACCUUCUUCUGCAGGUACCGUCAUUUUCGUCCCUGCUGAAAGGGGUUUACGACCCGAAGGCCUUCAUCCCCCACGCGGCGUUGCUGCGUCAGGCUUUCGCCCAUUGCGCAAGAUUCCCU